GGGGUUUCUAUGGCCACCGGAUCACUGUCUCGAAAACCGUUACGGGCCGUUAGGUCCGUCGAGGGUUCAAAUCCCUCCCCCUCCG
rnacentral:tRNA from 1 species